GGCCCCGUAGCUCAGCUGGAGAGAGCACUCACCUUCUAAGCGAAUGGCCACAGGUUCGAAUCCUGUCGGGGUCGCCA
rnacentral:tRNA from 1 species